rnacentral:rRNA from 1 species
UACGUAGGGUGCAAGCGUUGUUCGGAAUUACUGGGCGUAAAGGGCGCGUAGGCGGCCUGCUAAGUCGGAUGUGAAAUCCCUCGGCUCAACCGAGGAACUGCAUCCGAUACUGGCGGGCUUGAAUCCGGGAGAGGGAUGUGGAAUUCCAGGUGUAGCGGUGAAAUGCGUAGAUAUCUGGAGGAACACCGGUGGCGAAGGCGGCAUCCUGGACCGGUAUUGA